GACGGAGGAUGCAAGUGUUAUCCGGAAUCACUGGGCGUAAAGCGUCUGUAGGUGGUUUGAUAAGUCAACUGUUAAAUCUUGAGGCUCAACUUCAAAAUCGCAGUCGAAACUAUUAGACUAGAGUAUAGUAGGGGUAAAGGGAAUUUCCAGUGGAGCGGUGAAAUGCGUAGAGAUUGGAAAGAACACCAAUGGCGAAAGCACUUUACUGGGCUAUCACUGACACUGAGAGACGAAAGCUAGGGUAGCAAAUGGG
rnacentral:rRNA from 1 species